UGUGGAAUCGUACCUAAAGACAAAAGAACCAACAAAACAUUUUAUGAAUAAUAUGCUGAUAAUCUUUUUAUUGUAAACUCUAGCUACCCCAUGAGAAACUGAUCUCCGACUAUGAAGACGCACUCACAGCAAUCCGACAAUUGGUGUCAGCUGAAGUCCACCAGGGGGAGACAAAAGAGCAGAAGGAGAAGGCGAAGACUGAUAUUCAAGAAGUCAGAGACAAAAUACAUAAAGAAUAUGCAGCCGCACUGGAUCAUGAGGGGAAUGCAGCAAAGGCGCGCCUAGAGCUGGUGAAGGGUCAUGGUCUGGUGAUGGUGCAGUCCCUGCAGAGCAGAGCAGCACAGACAUCGAGCAGCAUGGAGAAGUUGCUAGAAACACACAAUGCCGCAGAAAUGAAGAGUAUUGAGCAGCUGUCAGAAGUGGUCGGCCACCACAUAGAGGCAGGAGCGAAGCUGCAGAACGAGCUGGUGAUGGAAUGUGUUGACUUCUACUUGAAUGGAGACUGCCACAUGGUGGCCAGCCCGGCUCCCCCUCCCCGUCCACCUGCUCUGGAGAAACCCACGAGGUCCACAUGAGCCGUCACUCAGCUCGAGUCACUGCAGCGACAGCUUUGCAACGUAGCUCCAUCAGGCCUCAUGUCCAGCUCUCAUUUCCUGGGGCUGCUCAUGGAUAUCAUCUCUGUGAACAUGGGCAGAAACACCUUGCCCGAGCCCUGGAAUAACAAGAAUGAA